rnacentral:rRNA from 1 species
AGUGAACGCUGGCGGUAGGCCUAACACAUGCAAGUCGAACGGCAGCACAGUAAGAGCUUGCUCUUACGGGUGGCGAGUGGCGGACGGGUGAGGAAUACAUCGGAAUCUACUUUUUCGUGGGGGAUAACGUAGGGAAACUUACGCUAAUACCGCAUACGACCUACGGGUGAAAGCAGGGGAUCUUCGGACCUUGCGCGAUUGAAUGAGCCGAUGUCGGAUUAGCUAGUUGGCGGGGUAAAGGCCCACCAAGGCGACGAUCCGUAGCUGGUCUGAGAAGAUGAUCAGCCACACUGGAACUGAGACACGGUCCAGACUCCUACGGGAGGCAGCAGUGGGGAAUAUUGGACAAUGGGCGCAAGCCUGAUCCAGCCAUACCGCGUGGGUGAAGAAGGCCUUCGGGUUGUAAGGCCCUUUUGUUGGGAAAGAAAAGCAGCAGGUUAAUACCCCGCUGUUCUGACGGUACCCAAAGAAUAAGCACCGGCUAACUUCGUG